rnacentral:rRNA from 1 species
UACGUAGGGUGCAAGCGUUGUCCGGAAUUAUUGGGCGUAAAGAGCUCGUAGGCGGUUUGUCGCGUCUGCUGUGAAACUCAGGGCUUAACCCUGGGCCUGCAGUGGGUACGGGCAGACUAGAGUGCGGUAGGGGAGACUGGAAUUCCUGGUGUAGCGGUGAAAUGCGCAGAUAUCAGGAGGAGCACCGGUGGCGAAGGCGGGUCUCUGGGCCGUAACUGACGCUGAGGAGCGAAAGCGUGGGGAGCGAACAGG